rnacentral:misc_RNA from 1 species
CGGGAGUAUGGAGUCGGGAAGUAAAGAUCACUCGAACCUUGUGGAGGUGAGCUGAAUUCCCUGAUUAAAUCCUUGUUCCGCUGAAACAAUUGCGAUUUCUUGUAUAUAUCACUAAAAUUAAUUCCCAGAGUCAUUUCUUGUGCCAAUGUAGAUACUUCCAGCAUCCAGGUUGACGGAUUAUACCCAUCUUUUAUCUUGCUG